rnacentral:rRNA from 1 species
UGCAAAGGUAGCACAAGGAUUUGCCUUUUAAUUGGAGGAUUGAAUGAAUGGUAUGACGAAAGUAUAACUGUCUCAUUUUCCUUUAAUUAAAAAUUAUUUUUUAAGUUAAAAAGCUUAAAUAAAAUUAAAGGACGAGAAGACCCUAUCGAGCUUUAAAUAAUUUGAUUGUAAUAAUAUAUUUUAAAGAUUCAAUGUUACUUUCAAAGAUUUUUAGUUGGGGCGACUAUGGAGCAAAAAAAACCUCCAGUAAUUUUUUUAAAAAACUAGGAUCCAAAUAUUAUUGAAAUAAGGAAAUAGUUACCGUAGGGAUAACAGCGUAAACUUUUUUGAGAGACCGUAUCGAAGAAAAGCAUUUGCGACCUCGAUGUUGGAUUAAGGAACCAAAAGCCAGAAGGUGCAGGAGCUUUCAAUGGCUGGUCUGUUCGACCAUUAAACCCUU